CGGACGGGUGAGUAACGCGUGAGAAUUUGCCUUUAGGAGGGGGACAACAACUGGAAACGGUUGCUAAUACCCCAUAUGCUUUCGAGUGAAAUGGAUUUUUCCGCCUAAAGAGAAGCUUGCGGCUGAUUAGCUUGUUGGUGAGGUAAUGGCUCACCAAGGCGACGAUCAGUAUCUGGUUUGAGAGGACGAUCAGACACACUGGAACUGGGACACGGUCCAGACUCCUACGGGAGGCAGCAGUGGGGAAUUUUCCGCAAUGGGCGAAAGCCUGACGGAGCAAUACCGCGUGAGGGAUGACGGCCUAUGGGUUGUAAACCUCUUUUUUCAGGGAGGAAUAAGUGACGUGUACCUGAAGAAUAAGCAUCGGCUAACUCCGUGCCAGCAGCCGCGGUAAGACGGAGGAUGCAAGUGUUAUCCGGAAUCACUGGGCGUAAAGCGUCUGUAGGUGGUUUAAUAAGUCAACUGUUAAAUCUUGAAGCUCAACUUCAAAAUCGCAGUCGAAACUAUUAGACUUGAGUAUAGUAGGGGUAAAGGGAAUUUCCAGUGGAGCGGUGAAAUGCGUAGAGAUUGGAAAGAACACCGAUGGCGAAGGCACUUUACUGGGCUAUUACUAACACUGAGAGACGAAAGCUAGGGUAGCAAAUGGGAUUAGAUACCCCAGUAGUC
rnacentral:rRNA from 1 species